rnacentral:rRNA from 1 species
AGAGCGAACGCUGGCGGCAUGCUUAACACAUGCAAGUCGCACGGGCAUUUCGGUGUCAGUGGCGGACGGGUGAGUAACGCGUAGGUAUCUAUCCUUGGGUGGGGGAUAACGGCUGGAAACGGCUGCUAAUACCGCAUGAUAACUGAGGUUCAAAGGCGCAAGUCGCCUGGGGAGGAGCCUGCGUACGAUUAGCUAGUUGGUGGGGUAAAGGCCUACCAAGGCUGCGAUCGUUAGCUGGUCUGAGAGGAUGAUCAGCCACAUUGGGACUGAGACACGGCCCAAACUCCUACGGGAGGCAGCAGUGGGGAAUAUUGGACAAUGGGCGAAAGCCUGAUCCAGCAAUGCCGCGUGUGUGAAGAAGGUCUUCGGAUUGUAAAGCACGUUUCGACGGGGUACGAUGAUGACGGUACCCGUAGAAGAGCCCCGGCUAACUUCGCGCCAGCAGCCGC